rnacentral:lncRNA from 1 species
UUUCUAUUGCUUUUUUUUGUUUGGUGUGUACCUCUGCAGUAUAUGGUGGCGGGCGAGCGGAACUUCUUUCCACUGCUCCUGGAGGCGUCAAGCCCUCUCUAGUGAUCGGAUGGGAGUGCCAGGUUCAGUCCCAUCUUGGCUUUAGUAUGUCUCUCUACUUCUAUUCUACUGAAUAUUGUUCUUGGAGCUUCAAAGGCAAUUGCUUUACUGGUGAACAUGUGUAGGAGGAUUUGUGGUUUAGCAUUAUUAGACCUCUGUAAAUGCAUGUCUAGGAGGUUUCUUGGAGCUGUAGUGUAUUAUGUAAGUCCAUCAAAGCUAUUUGCUUUAUUGGUGAACAUGUAUAGGAGGAUUCAUUGUUAGACCUCUGUACAUACAUGUUUGCACUGUCCUAUAAAAAGACUCUCCUUUGGUGGUGAGCAUAAAAAGGAAGAAAGUUACUACUCACAAUAAAAUUUAAUUGGGUAAACUGUAGAAGCUAACUUUGUUAGAGAAAGGUUCAUAACCCACCCUUUCUUUCUUGCAGGAUUGAGAAGAUUGUGACUUUGAAACCUUUUAGAUGUACAGAAAGAAACCAGAUUGUGUUUGUACAUAAUGAUGGUGAGAAGAUCAAAUAUAUGGUAUGGGAAGUGGUUUCACUGAUUGUACUUGUACAACAAAAGAGCAGAUUGUGUUUCCUUUUAGAAGAUAACUUUUGUCGGCAAUUGUGUUGCUUGCAAGCAGAAUAUUUAUUGUAUUGUGUUGCUUGCAAAAGAGUUUAAUAUUGUAUACGGUGCUACAUGUCAUAAUAUUUUUAGUUUCUGUUAGUUCUGUUUAUUUGCAUCUUGUGCUUUUAGUCCAUGGACACAUGCAACAUAUGGAACCACAAACUAGGUGUAAUCCGAUGUUCCCUUGGUAGAACCUGCUUUGAGAAAAUAGUACCAAGUGUUCCAAGCUUUCCACUAUCUUUUGGUGAUUAUUUUGUUGUUCU